rnacentral:rRNA from 1 species
AAGUAACGAUAAAGCGGGUGAAAAGCCCGCUCGCCGGAAGACCAAGGGUUCCUGUCCAACGUUAAUCGGGGCAGGGUGAGUCGACCCCUAAGGCGAGGCCGAAAGGCGUAGUCGAUGGGAAACAGGUUAAUAUUCCUGUACUUGGUGUUACUGCGAAGGGGGGACGGAGAAGGCUAUGUUGGCCGGGCGACGGUUGUCCCGGUUUUAAGCGUGUAGGCUGGUUUUCCAGGCAAAUCCGGAAAAUCAAGGCUGAGGCGUGAUGACGAGGCACUACGGUGCUGAAGCAACAAAUGCCCUGCUUCCAGGAAAAGCCUCUAAGCAUCAGGUAACAUCAAAUCGUACCCCAAACCGACACAGGUGGUCAGGUAGAGAAUACCAAGGCGCUUGAGAGAACUCGGGUGAAGGAACUAGGCAAAAUGGUGCCGUAACUUCGGGAGAAGGCACGCUGAUAUGUAGGUGAGGUCCCUCGCGGAUGGAGCCGAAAUCAGUCGAAGAUACCAGCUGGCUGCAACUGUUUAUUAAAAACACAGCACUGUGCAAACACGAAAGUGGACGUAUACGGUGUGACGCCUCCCCGGUGCCGGAAGGUUAAUUGAUGGGGUAGCGCAAGCGAAGCUCUUGAUCGAAGCCCCGGUAAACGGCGGCCGUAACAAUAACGGUCUUAAGGUAGCGAAAUUCCUUGUCGGGUAAGUUCCGACCUGCACGAAUGGCGUAAUGAUGGCCAGGCUGUCUCCACCCGAGACUCAGUGAAAUUGAACUCGCUGUGAAGAUGCAGUGUACCCGCGGCAAGACGGAAAGACCCCGUGAACCUUCACUAUAGCUUGACACUGAACAUUGAGCCUUGAUGUGUAGGAUAGGUGGGAGGCUUUGAAGUGUGGACGCCAGUCUGCAUGGAGCCGACCUAGAAAUACCACCCUUUAAUGUUUGAUGUUCUAACGUUGACCCGUAAUCCGGGUUGCGGACAGUGUCUGGUGGGUAGUUUGACUGGGGCGGUCUCCUCCUAAAGAGUAACGGAGGAGCACGAAGGUUGGCUAAUCCUGGUCGGACAUCAGGAGGUUAGUGCAAUGGCAUAAGCCAGCUUGACUGCGAGCGUGACGGCGCGAGCAGGUGCGAAAGCAGGUCAUAGUGAUCCGGUGGUUCUGAAUGGAAGGGCCAUCGCUCAACGGAUAAAAGGUACUCCGGGGAUAACAGGCUGAUACCGCCCAAGAGUUCAUAUCGACGGCGGUGUUUGGCACCUCGAUGUCGGCUCAUCACAUCCUGGGGCUGAAGUAGGUCCCAAGGGUAUGGCUGUUCGCCAUUUAAAGUGGUACGCGAGCUGGGUUUAGAACGUCGUGAGACAGUUCGGUCCCUAUCUGCCGUGGGCGCUGGAGAACUGAGGGGGGCUGCUCCUAGUACGAGAGGACCGGAGUAGACGCAUCACUGGUGUUCAGGUUGUCAUGCCAAUGGCACUGCCCGGUAGCUAAAUGCGGAAGAGAUAAGUGCUGAAAGCAUCUAAGCACGAAACUUGCCCCGAGAUGAGUUCUCCCUGACCCUUUAAGGGUCCUGAAGGAACGUUGAAGACGACGACGUUGAUAGGCCGGGUGUGUAAGCGCAGCGAUGCGUU